CAGAGCCCCUGCAGAGGAAGUGAGAAAGGUCUGUCUCCAUCCUGCUUAAGCCUCCCUGGCCUCAGGGUGCUGAGACAUGACGUCCUGCCAUGCCCCUCUGAGCAGCAGAUGCUCGGUGUUCCCUUGCCGUUGCCAGGUGCCGCGUUGUCCCCUCCGUGGGACACAGGUGCAACUCACGUGAUGCCGAAGUGGAACACGUAGAGGAAGAUGCAGUUUGCAGCCACAUUGACGAUGUUGCCGAUGACCCCACUCAGCACCAGCGGCCACAUGAUCAUCUGCAAAGAAGAGGGGACGGGACUACGGUGUCUUCACAAAGGCUCCGGGAGGGAGGUGUGAAGGUACCCACCAGCCCCUGGGCUCAGCGCCUUUCCCAGGCAGAAAAUAAACUUCCAGUGACGUUGCCUGCUUGGAAAACGAAUGUGUUGGAGCGCCAGCGGGCCGGGGGGAGCUCGUGCCUGGCACUGGGAAUGCUUACAGCGAUGGCCAGCGUGACGGAGGCCAGCUCAACCUUGCCCAGGUGGCCACAGAAUAUGGAGCUAACGAGGUGUAUCAGGAAGAUCAGCAGCUGGAUCAGGAUCUAAGCACAGAGGAGAGGAGAGGCGAAGCUCCCGGGUGUGAGAUUGUCCUGGCCAGCGGCCACUGCCUCACCAUUCUCCUCGGGGAGGUUCUCUGUCUUCGUGCUGCCAUUCUCCUCAGGAAGGUUCUCCGGCUUCAUGCUGCUGCUCUGCCAGGGGAGUGGAACAACCCCUCUCUCCGCGCUCUGUUAAACCACGGUGGGCCCACAGGUAACCAGCACCCCGAACCAGGGUGACAGGGAGGUGCCAUUCAUCUGCUCUACACGGGAUUUACCUCCAAGGGCCCAGCAUGUGCCACGUCUCAGUCACUCAGCUGCAGGUCUACAGUGAGCUACAGGCAGCUUUGCACCCUCCACGGCACCCCAGCCUGCAGGGAGGAAUCACUCCACACGCUGGAAUACUCACUGCUGUCGCAUCAAGGAAGUGGAAUGGAGCAAAAAUGAGCAUCACUUUGGACACCAAGUUAACGAUCUCCCUGUUGGGAAGAUGACCUGAGCUCACCUGUGCACAGCAGUGCAGUGAUGCAGGAGGUCUUGGCUUGCACCGCAUCCCCCGAUCCCAAGGCAUUGCCCACCCUGACACCCGCAGCCACGCUGAUGCCCAGAGGCACCUGAGCAGCAGGAGACAAGAGGAGCACACCUGGAUGUGCAGCUGCUGUGGCAGGUCUGAGAGGCAUCACCUGCCUGGUACUGUCCCCUGUUCCCACCUCAGAUUGACCACAGAGCCACUGUUUGGGGGCUGUUCCCAGGCUGUUUGGGGUUUCCUACACCCAGCCCUUACCAUGUAGGCGGCACCGGCGAGCUCGUAGAUGACGGUCUGUGCACCCAGCUCCACCACACUGAGCAGCCCUGGAAAAGAUUCAUCACCUCCUUUGUUUGCUGACAAGGAGGCAGUGACUACAGAGUUCCCACUGAAUGGAUGGGAACACCUGCAGUGUCCUGCAGACCCGGUCCUGUAGGUGAGGAAGCUGCUGGCAGGAGGAGCUCUGGGGACACAGUCAAGAAGCAGCCACCAGAGCAGGUACAGCUGUAAGGCAGCCUGUUGAACCACAGGAAAAGAGGAUUUGGACUCACCAGCCAAGA